rnacentral:rRNA from 1 species
AACGAACGCUGGCGGCAUGCCUAACACAUGCAAGUCGAACGAGACCUUCGGGUCUAGUGGCGCACGGGUGCGUAACGCGUGGGAACCUGCCCUUAGGUUCGGAAUAACUCCCCGAAAGGGGUGCUAAUACGGGAUAAUGUCUUCGGACCAAAGAUUUAUCGCCUUUGGAUGGGCCCGCGUUGGAUUAGCUAGUUGGUAGGGUAAAAGCCUACCAAGGCGACGAUCCAUAGCUGGUCUGAGAGGAUGAUCAGCCACACUGGGACUGAGACACGGCCCAGACUCCUACGGGAGGCAGCAGUGGGGAAUAUGGGACAAUGGGCGAAAGCCUGAUCCAGCAAUGCCGCGUGAGUGAUGAAGGCCUUAGGGUUGUAAAGCUCUUUUACCCGGGAUGAUAAUGACAGUACCGGGAGAAUAAGCUCCGGCUAACUCCGUG